AUUGAACGCUGGCGGCAUGCUUUACACAUGCAAGUCGAACGGCAGCGCGGGGCAACCUGGCGGCGAGUGGCGAACGGGUGAGUAAUACAUCGGAACGUACCCAGAAGUGGGGGAUAACGUAGCGAAAGUUACGCUAAUACCGCAUACGUUCUACGGAAGAAAGUGGGGGACCUUCGGGCCUCAUGCUUUUGGAGCGGCCGAUGUCUGAUUAGCUAGUUGGUGAGGUAAAGGCUCACCAAGGCGACGAUCAGUAGCUGGUCUGAGAGGACGACCAGCCACACUGGGACUGAGACACGGCCCAGACUCCUACGGGAGGCAGCAGUGGGGAAUUUUGGACAAUGGGCGCAAGCCUGAUCCAGCAAUGCCGCGCGAGUGAAGAAGGCCUUCGGGUUGUAAAGCUCUUUUGUCAGGGAAGAAACGGCUGAGGAUAAUACCUUCGGCUAAUGACGGUACCUGAAGAAUAAGCACCGGCUAACUACGUG
rnacentral:rRNA from 1 species